AGUGUCGUUGAAUUUUAAAAUUGCUGGAAGAGAAACGUUCCGAAUUUACUACGAAAGAAAAGCAAUUUUUAUACGAAGACAUGGUUGGAGGUUCAGUCAGUGGAAAAACAUUCAAGCCAGAUCCUUCUUCAUAUGAAGCCACAGGUAUCCCAUGUGGAAAUCCACAGCGGUAUAAGAAUCGGUCAGUUAUGCGAAUGGUACCAAAUAAAGAGGUUCCAUGUGAAAACCAACAACUUGGUUUACCAGGGAAGGGAACAAAGUCAGAGGCUGAGGAUCAUUUACAAGAAAUGUUAAAGACACAGCUCGAUACAAAUGUUACAUUUCACGGAGCUUCAAGAAAAAGAAAGGCAUUCACAGAGCCUAUCAUACACGAUACCUCUCAAGAGAAAGCAAGUGGUGUGAUGACAUUGAGUGACUACAACAAGUUUGAUACAUAUCAACAGAAAGAAGCAGAAUUCACUCAACUAGGUUUGACAGGUGAUGAAGUUAAAUUAAAGAUGGCAGACUAUGGUCUGUUGAGAAAGGAUUCCACACGAAGUAAUUAUGGGGUUAAUCCUGAAGUAGAGCACGACAGACGCAAAGCCAUUCAGGACAAGAUAAAAAGCAAAGAACAAAAACUUUCUCAAGAGAUCUCAUUCUCAAAUGUACGAAAAAUGAGUCGGCAUGCUAUGGAAGUAGAGAAAUCCUUGAACAGAGGAACAGAAAAGUCGAAUGCAUUUUCGCAUCUUCUUCAUUCCGAGCAAAAGUUUGAUCCUGCCCUUGACGAAGUUUUAAAGGAAUAUAAUGAAAAAAACAAUUCCAUGAAUUCCAAUGUUGAAAGAAAAACUCUCGGUGUCCAGGAGAACGUUAUUUGUCUUUCUGACCAACCCGAUGACGAACCAGAUGAUGAAUGUACAACCGAUUCCUGCAGUGAACGUAUUCUUCCUUUAGACGAGGAAGUUAUAAAGAGACAUCGGCUGACGUUGGAUGAUAUUCGCGCGAUUCCACGUUUUAAGGAUUAUCAGCCCGGUUCUCCAAAUGAGGUUUUAUACAUAAAGAACCUGAGCAAAAAGGUAUCAGAAGCUGACCUCCAUGCGCUGUUCAACAGAUAUGAAGAUGGUGUCCAAAAGUUUCAUAUUCGGUUCAUGACAGGACGCAUGAAAGGCCAAGCUUUUGUCACAUUUGGAGAUAAAGACGUUGCAAUUCAAGCAUUCAAUCUGGUUAAUGGAUACGAGCUAUAUGGAAGACCGAUUAUUAUUCAGUAUGGCAAAAAGUGCAAUAAAUCUGCAUAAAAAUACUCCACUGGAAUAUCUGCAUGUCAUCACUGACUGACAGCCCUCGAGGUCAAUAUAACCUACGUGACAUCGAGGUCAAUAUAACCUGCGUGACAUCGAACCGUACGAACGUAAAGUUCGUAUCGAGAGCAACAGGAUGGUAAUGCUUUACUAUGAACAUACCUGUGUGAUGAAGGACCAGGGGAUGUCGAGACGUGGCCGUGUCUUACACGAUUCUCAAGUGUGCACAAAUGUCAUAAGAUUUCGAAUUUGUAUCGCAUUGGUAUUGUAUUGCAGCCAAAAGAAUAAACUUGAAAGGCGUGAUGACUAAAGUUAAAUGCUAAUGUACGUGCGUGUGUAAUUGUGGUCUCUGAUUACCUUUUUAUGUGGGAAUAAAUAGCAGAUCGCUUUGUAUAUGUUUUUGUGCAACAUGAUAUAUCAAAUUAUCAAUAAGUCGUUUUUAUGAUUUUAAAGACUUGCAAAAAUGGUUUUAGUCAUCUGACGUGAUUUUUCAUUAACUCUGUCUCUGUAAUUGUAAAUG
rnacentral:misc_RNA from 1 species